rnacentral:rRNA from 1 species
AUUGAACGCUGGCGGCAGGCCUAACACAUGCAAGUCGAGCGGAGCGGCGGACGGGUGAGUAAUGCCUAGGAAUCUGCCUGGUAGUGGGGGAUCACGUCCGGAAACGGGCGCUCAUACCGCCUACUAUCCGAUGCGCCUAGGUCGGCUUAGCUAGUUGGUGGGUUAAAGGCCUACCAAGGCGAAGAUCCGUAACUGGUCUGAUAUGAUGAUCAGUCACACUGGAAUGGAGACACGUUCAUGACUCCUACGUGAGGCAGCAGUGGGGAAUUUUGGACAAGGGGCGAAAGCCUGAUCCAGCCAGGCCGCGUGUGUGAAGAAGGUCUUCGGAUUGUAAAGCACUUGAAGGUGUGAGGCGUUACCAACAGAAUAAGCACCGGCUAACUUCGUGCCAGCAGCCGCGGUAAGUC